CCGGCCCUGGGAAGGCUGGUACUGAUUCUGCAGUAACGCAGCCACUGAGCUCUUCUCAGCUCCGUUAAGCCCCACUAAUGCUGUCACCUUCUCAAGUGCAGAGUGAAUAUCACUCCCUAAAGGAACAAGAAGGGGAAGGCAUCAGGAGAGAGAGAGAGAGCCUGCCCCUGGUUGGGCAGGAGCCCAGACUCCCACCUUCACCACCCCCAUCUGUGCAAGGACAUCCUCACAGCAGGAGACAGGGCUGAGUCAUCAGAGUCCAGUGUCAAGACAAAAGUCAAGAAAAUUGGUGAUAGCCCAGGAUUCAUUGCAUGACAACAGCGUCUUAGAUGUCUGACCAAGCUUUAAGUACUCCACAAGCCCUGCUUCAGCCACCUUCAUGGCCUUGAAACAAAUUGUUCUCAUCUGCCCAUUCCUCUGGGGAAGUCUUCACGUGCUUGGGACAGACAUUGUGCAAUUCACAGACAGGUUUGAGGCCUGUCAGUUACUUUCAACCUGGUUUAGCCAUUUUCCCUGGGGUGUGGGCACUGCACCUGCUUCUUGGAGCCACAGGUGAGAGGUAAAUAGGGAAUUAGAGUUUAGUAGGGACUUGAACCAAGCAAAGCAUAGACUGUAGUAAUAAAAGCAUAAAAUUCAGAUCAAGGGAAGUGUUCUGAGCUGGUGAAUCAUAUAUAACAUUACAUCUGAGCUUUCACAUUUUAGGAGAGAUACUGCCAUAUUAAAGAGAACUUGGAGGAUGGUGAGUAAAAUGCUAAGAAGAGUCUGGGAAUCAUGUCACAUGAAGAAUGACAGAACAGGCUGGAUUUGUUUAAUUGUGAGAAGGAUUAGGGGUUACAUAAAAGUUCUCUUCAGACACUUGUAUAAUUAACACAAGGAAAAGGGGGGAAACUUAAAUCACUCUUUCUUUAGGGGGCAGAACUGAACAAAUGUAUGAGAAUUCUAGGGAGGCAGCUUGGGAUUGAAUAGUAAAAAUAACUUUGUAACAAUGAAAGUUACUAAGGGAUGUAAUUGGUUACUCCCCAGAGAAAUGUGUUCCCAGGCUCUGGAAAUGUUCAGAAAGAGGCUAGAUGACUUCUAUGUCAGGGAGGUUGUAGAAGGAAUUCUUACAUGGGGGAAAGAUUAGAAUGAAUGACUUUCAAAGUUCUAUGAAACAGGAUUCUAUGAUCUUUGGAGCAGCUUUGGGUGGAUCAGUGAUUGGGAAAGUGUCAGAGUACUCUAAUUUCCUGUCCCAUCCUGUCAGUUGGAAUGUAGGAAAGUAGAGACGUGAAAGUUCUGCAUAAACAAAAUGAAUGCUUAAAAGAUAAGAAGGGAAAUAAUGUUUGGACCCACUCCCGGUACUUUCCCUUCUGUUUCUAGAAGCACCAGUGAUGUGCUGGUCCCAACAAUAGAUUUUCUUUGCCCAGAAGAGGGCACCAAAUUCAAGCAAUUGUCUGCUCACAGCCUUUAAAUUUAGCAAAAUUCCAGGUAAACUUUCCCAAUCAGCUUAGGCUCUCCUCAUCCCGUCCUAGGACAAUAAAAGUCAAGAAUUCCAAUUUUUGGAUUUAGUCCAGAUCCAAUGGUCGUGUGAUGAAGUAAGCCAUCUGCACCCAGAUAGAGAGAGCAGUGGGAACUGAAUCUGAAACCUCAACAUAGUCUUUUCACUCUUUUUGUUGUUUGUUUGCAUUUUGUUUUCCUUCUCAUUUUUGUGAAAAAUGCUGAAAAGUUGGGUUUGCACAGUAGUGCAAGCAUUGGUUGAGAUAGUGGGUACCACUGACCAGGAGGUUUUCAGAAUUUGAGAGCUUAAGGAAAAUUAGGAUCACAGAACAAUUAAGUGAUCAAUAGAAACCUUGAGCAAACAAGAAAUUGGGGAGCUAGGAAGGCACAGGUGGAUUCACCCAAUCAGAAAGAGUCAGUGACCUGACUUGACUAAAUCACUAUUGUACUUGCUUAAUAGGCUAAUUGAAUAUUAAACAGCACACCACAGAGGAGGAGUUUUCCACCAUUUUUGAACAUGGGAUGUAUGAUGAGGGGUGAGAGUGUAUUUUAUACAUAUUAAGGGUAAAAUUGUAGUGGGUUUAUCAGAAAGACUGUAAUGGGGCUAAAACAGACCAAUCCAUUUUCUGAAGGGAGGAGCUGUGUUACAUGAGCAAGUAUAAAGAUUCCCCCAUUUCUGUACUCAGUGCUCCCUCUUUCCCAAGUUGUGGGACUUGCUUCUGGCCAGAAACCCUAAGACGAUUCCUUAAGAUUCUUCUUUAAUAAAUUUUCAUUGAUACCUGA